rnacentral:rRNA from 1 species
GGCGAGGUAGGGGAGCGUUCUGUUGUAGGUUGAAGCAUUAACGUAAGUGGGUGUGGACGAAGCAGAAGUGAGAAUGUCGGCUUGAGUAGCGAAAACAUUGGUGAGAAUCCAAUGCCCCGAAAACCUAAGGUUUCCCCCGGAAGGCUCGUCCGCGGGGGGUGAGUCAGGACCUAAGGCGAGGUCGAAAGACGUAGUCGAUGGACAAUAGGUUAAUAUUCCUAUACCGUUUUUUAUUGGCAACGAGGGACGAAGAAGGCUAAACUUAUCCAGAUAGUGGUCACUGGUCCAAGCAUUCAAGGUUAUGAGAAAUAGUGAAAAUAUUUUGAGCUGAGAUGUGAUGGGGAGAUACUUAGUAUUGAAGUAGUUGAUGUCAUGCUUCCAAGAAAAGCUUGCACUGUCAUAAAUAGAAAACGCCUGUACCCUAAACCGACACAGGUAGGUAGGUAGAGUAUACUAAGGGGCGCGAGAUAACUCUCUCUAAGGAACUCGGCAAAAUAACCCCGUAACUUUGGGAGAAGGGGUACCCUAUGGGUUGCAAUAACAAGGUCCAAGCGACUGUUUAUCAAAAACACAGGUCUCCGCGAAGUCGAAAGACAAUGUAUGGGGGCUGACGCCUGCCCAGUGCCGGAAGGUUAAAGAAGCUGGUUAGCAGUAGCGAAGCUAGUGACUGAAGCCCCGGUGAACGGCGGCCGUAACAAUAACGGUCCUAAGGUAGCGAAAUUCCUUGUCGGGUAAGUUCCGACCCGCACGAAAGGCGUAACGAUUUGGACACUGUCUCGGAGAGGGACUCGGCGAAAUAGACUUGUCUGUGAAGAUGCGGACUACCUGCACCUGGACAGAAAGACCCUAUGAAGCUUUACUGUAACUUGAGAUUGGUUUCGGGUUUUAUUUGCGCAGAAUAGGUGGGAGGCUAUGAAAAAAUACUUGUGGGUGUUUUGGAGCCAUCAGUGAGAUACCACUCUUGUAAAACUAGAAAUCUAACUUUACACCAUUAUCUGGUUAAAAGACAGUCUCAGGCGGGCAGUUUGACUGGGGCGGUCGCCUCCUAAAAGGUAACGGAGGCGUACAAAGGUUUCCUCAAAUCGGUCAGACAUCGAUUGUAGAGCGUAAAGGCAUAUGGAAGCUUAACUGCGAGACCUACAAGUCGAGCAGAGACGAAAGUCGGUCUUAGUGAUCUGGCGGUAUUACGUGGAAAAGCCGCCACUCAACGGAUAAAAGUUACUCUAGGGAUAACAGGCUGAUCUCCCCCA